rnacentral:rRNA from 1 species
GGGGUCCUACGGGGGGCAGCAGUGAGGAAUAUUGGUCAAUGGGCGAGAGCCUGAACCAGCCAAGUCGCGUGAGGGAGUACUGCCCUAUGGGUUGUAAACCUCUUUUGUCGGGGAGCAAGACCCGCCUCGUGCAGGCGGAGCGAGAGUACCCGAAGAAAAAGCAUCGGCUAACUCCGUGCCAGCAGCCGCGGUAAUACGGAGGAUGCGAGCGUUAUCCGGAUUUAUUGGGUUUAAAGGGUGCGCAGGCGGACCAUCAAGUCAGCGGUAAAAUCGUGGGGCCCAACCCCAUCCCGCCGUUGAAACUG